CGAGUGUGAGUGAGUGUGAGAGGGAGAGGGUGUGCCUGUAUUAGUCCUACCUCCACAUAAAUCCACAAGAUUCCUGAGGGAAGAAAAGGGACCAUCACCUAGAGUUAUUUGAAUUCCCUGUGUGGCCUAGGAACAGCUCUCUUCACUUCCUCGGGAAUGGCAUCUUUCUCAGCCUCAGAGACCUGGUAUACCGUGUGGCCUGCAUCCAGCCGUGAGAACACACAUUCAGGACUUCUCAUUUUUGAAGAGCUGGCACCUACCAUAAUGUCUGGUGUGGAGUAUAUUCUCAACAAGCCGUUGUUAAAUAAAUGAAUGAUGAAUGAA